GGGAGUUUGGCCGAGUGGUUAAGGCGUUGUGUUUAGGUCAUUCGUCCAAAAAGGAUACCUGAAGCCCGCAAUGGGAAACCGCGCAGGUUCGAAUCCUGCAGCUCUCA